rnacentral:rRNA from 1 species
GAAUAUUGGACAAUGGGGGGAACCCUGAUCCAGCCAUGCCGCGUGUGUGAGGAAGGCCUUUUGGUUGUAAAGCACUUUAAGCGGCGAGGAGGCUACUUAGAUUAAUACUCUAGGAUAGUGGACGUUACUCGCAGCAUAAGCACCGGCUAACUCUGUGCACGCAGCCGCGGUACUACAGAGGUUGCAAGCGUUAAUCGGAUUUACUGGGCGUAAAGCGCGCGUAGGUGGCCAAGUAAGUCAAAUGUGAAAUCCCCGAGCUUAACUUGGGAAUUGCAUUCGAUACUGGUUGGCUAGAGUAUGGGAGAGGAUGGUAGAAUUCCAGGUGUAGCGGUGAAAUGCGUAGAGAUCUGGAGGAAUACCGAUGGCGAAGGCAGCCAUCUGGCCUAAUACUGACACUGAGGUGCGAAAGCAUGGGGAGCAAACA